UCGAGCGGACCGACGGGAGCUUGCUCCCUUAGGUCAGCGGCGGACGGGUGAGUAACACGUGGGUAACCUGCCUGUAAGACUGGGAUAACUCCGGGAAACCGGGGCUAAUACCGGAUGCUUGAUUGAACCGCAUGGUUCAAUCAUAAAAGGUGGCUUUUAGCUACCACUUGCAGAUGGACCCGCGGCGCAUUAGCUAGUUGGUGAGGUAACGGCUCACCAAGGCGACGAUGCGUAGCCGACCUGAGAGGGUGAUCGGCCACACUGGGACUGAGACACGGCCCAGACUCCUACGGGAGGCAGCAGUAGGGAAUCUUCCGCAAUGGACGAAAGUCUGACGGAGCAACGCCGCGUGAGUGAUGAAGGUUUUCGGAUCGUAAAACUCUGUUGUUAGGGAAGAACAAGUACCGUUCGAAUAGGGCGGCACCUUGACGGUACCUAACCAGAAAGCCACGGCUAACUACGUGCCAGCAGCCGCGGUAAUACGUAGGUGGCAAGCGUUGUCCGGAAUUAUUGGGCGUAAAGCGCGCGCAGGCGGUUUCUUAAGUCUGA
rnacentral:rRNA from 1 species